UUGUCUCAAAGAUUAAGCCAUGCAUGUCUCAGUACAAGCCGAAUUAAGGUGAAACCGCGAAAGGCUCAUUAAAUCAGUUAUGGUUCCUUAGAUCGUACCCACAUUUACUUGGAUAACUGUGGUAAUUCUAGAGCUAAUACAUGCAAACAGAGCUCCAACCGGAAACGGAAGGAGCGCUUUUAUUAGAUCAAAACCAAUCGGUGGCGGUUUCCGUCAUCGUACAACUUGGUGACUCUGAAUAACUUUAAGCUGAUCGCACGGUCUCGCACCGGCGACGCAUCUUUCAAAUGUCUGCCUUAUCAACUGUCGAUGGUAGGUUCUGCGCCUACCAUGGUUGUAACGGGUAACGGGGAAUCAGGGUUCGAUUCCGGAGAGGGAGCCUGAGAAACGGCUACCACAUCCAAGGAAGGCAGCAGGCGCGCAAAUUACCCACUCCCGGCACGGGGAGGUAGUGACGAAAAAUAACGAUACGGGACUCAUCCGAGGCCCCGUAAUCGGAAUGAGUACACUCUAAACCCUUUAACGAGGAUCAAUUGGA
rnacentral:rRNA from 1 species